UAUAUAUAUAUGAUAUAUUUAUAUUUUUAUUUAAAUUUAAGAUUGAUAACAAACAUAAAACACAUUGGAGAAAUGACAAACUUCCAUGAAGCAAUUUGCAAAAAGUGUGUAUCCAAGGGAGUUAUUAUAGGACCUAAACAAAUCACAUUAUCUCCCCUUGAUCACUAAUAAAACAUGAGUCAGCAGUUGCUUAGGACAAUGACAUGGAAAUUAAUACCAGCUCACUUAUCCGUAGACAAAUUUCCAAAUCUUCCCAUUGUUUUAACAGUACAAUGGAAUUUUACCCUGUCUUGUAAAGUAUUUUAGUUCCAACCCUUCAUUUUGAUUUCGGUGUUAAGCAUCACAUAAAAAAAUACUAAAGAGGCAAACAAAUAAAAAAAGCUAACCAUGUUCUCACAAUUGUGAUUGCAUUAAUUUAUCUGAAAUCUCUGAAUUCUUAAGCUUUAAUUUUCGCCCAUGUCAUAAUUCAAAAUUAUUUGAAAAGCUUUUAAAUUUCUGGAUAUUUGAAUUUUGAUAAUACAGUUAUACUCUGUCUAGGAUAUGGUCUGUGAAGUGGAAUGAUUCAUACAUGCUUUUUCCAUGCUCCUAUUUUAUUUGAAUGCAUGGACACACUACACAUAUCUAUCUUUUAACAAGGAAUCCUUUCCCUUAGCACUUUUAUAUGUUAUUGAAAGGACAUUAUUAAUAAGAAGCAUUAUUUCAAAUUUCAGAUCACGAGGAAAAUAACACGGAAGAGAGCGAAGAAGAUACAAGGGCCAAACCAAUGGUCCGUGGCUCCUGGCUGCCCGUGCUGGACACGGACAGCUUUGACCUCGGCAACAGCAUUGACUUUGCCGAGGAGUGCGGCCCUGUCAACCCUCAAGGUAAAAAGAAUUGAUAAAUACAAAUAUCAUUAAGUGCAUGAAUUCAUAAUCAACAUAGACAAUGCCUGUCAUCCAAAACUAAGUAAGGAAUUGUUUCAUAUUUGGUGUCUCGAACAAGGUUAAUUAUAUGUUUAGGUAUAAAUGUGGAUAUAAGUUGUAUGAUAUUAAGAUUAUCAUUACAUGUACAUGUAUCAAAUACAAUGAUAUAUGACAGCGUGAUUUAUAAUAAUUCAUGUGGUCAUAAAUUAUGAUAUAUGUUUCAGAUUACCAUGCCCCUCCUAUAUGCUAUUUUGAUAAGCAACUCAGAGGAGAGGAUGGAGAUGUUGAUUUGUUCGACCUGCUGGUCAGGGAGACAAACAGGUAUGCUGAGCAGUACCUGCAGGGCCGCACUCCAUCACCACAGGGCAGGGCUCGGGCGUGGAGACCCGUAGGCCGGGAAGAAAUGCGGGCAUUUUUUGGACUCUUGUUGGCCAUGGGUGUCAUCAAGAAGCCAACCAUCGCUUCCUACUGGAAUGAAGGGGACAAGAACUGGCUGGCGUCAACACCUUCCUUCGACAGGGUCCACUGCUGGCAGUGCUCUUUUCAGACAGGAAGGUCUUCACAAUCCUUUCUACCAUGGGUACAGUAGUCCAAGAAUGGAGGAUGGGCUUAACUCACGGGACCGGUCUGUCACUCUCCCCUCAGUCAUUAGACUGUACAACACUCUAAUGGGUGGAGUUGACCUUGGGAUCAACUCAUUGGUGUCUAUGAUCCCCAAGUCCGCUCCAAGAAGCUGUGGAAGAAAGUUUUAAUCAACUUUCUUCUCACAGCAUCAGUAAAUGCCUAUCAGACAUUCCUGAACACUCAUGGUAGAACGACCUCCCGUCUGGACUUCCACAUGUCCCUUCUCCACUCACUCGUCGGGAACACUCGGGUGAAGAGGAGGACUGGCAGGCCCAGGACCAAGCCUCCUUCCCGACGACUGACCGGACGUCACUUCAUAGAGUGAGUGAGUGAGUGAGUUUGGUUUUACGCCGCUUUUAGGAUUAUUCCAGCAAUAUCACGGCGGGGGA